GCUUGGGGUUCCCCCGGAGGAGCUGGGGGAGGUGUGUGUGGAUCGGGAGCUGCUGCCCCGCGACCCGACUCCGGAUAAAGCGGAAGAAAAUGGAUGUUUGUGAUCAGGUUCCAAAAGAAGCGUCGCUGAACUUCAUUAAGUCCCACAGCGUCACCGAGGAAGCGUCACCUUCCUCCUUUCCGGAGGACAAAAACGAAUCUGAUGAAGAGUUACUGAUGGAAUGAAUUCAGAGCAGCUGGAAUGUUGAAAAUCAUUUUGCCACGUCACAGUUUAAGAAUUCACUCUAUGUACAGAAGAGGUUGUUGAUGAGCAGGAGAACCCAAAUCCUGCAGACAUUAAAGAGGAACAGGAGGAACUCUGGACUGGAUAGGAGGCAGAUCAGCUUCCAGAACUGGAGGAGGUUUGGG